rnacentral:misc_RNA from 1 species
GAUGAAGAACGUAGUAAAAUGCGAUACUUGGUGUGAAUUGCAGAAUCCCGUGAACCAUCGAGUUUUUGAACGCAAGUUGCGCCCGAAGCCUUUUGGCCGAGGGCACGUCUGCCUGGGCGUCACGCAUCGCGUCGCCCCCCACAAUUCUCCGUAAAGGGAACAUGUGUUUUGGGGGCGGAUAUUGGUCUCCCGUGCUCAUGGCGUGGUUGGCCGAAAUAGGAGUCCUUUCGAUGGACGCACGAACUAGUGGUUGUCGUAAAAACCCUCGUCUUUUGUUUCGUGCUGUUGCUCGCAAGGUAAACUCUUUAAAAACCCCAAUGUGUCGUCUCUUGACGACGCUUCGACCGCGACCCCAGGUCAGGCGGGACUACCCGCUGAGUUUAAGCAUAUCAAUAAGCGGAGGA